rnacentral:rRNA from 1 species
CAGUAGCCACGGUAAUACGAAGGGUGCAAGCGUUAAUCGGAAUUACUGGGCGUAAAGGGCGCGUAGGCGGACAGUUUAGUCAGAGGUGAAAGCCCAGGGCUCAACCUUGGAAUUGCCUUUGAUACUGGCUGUCUUGAGUACGGGAGAGGUGUGUGGAACUCCGAGUGUAGAGGUGAAAUUCGUAGAUAUUCGGAAGAACACCGGUGGCGAAGGCGACACACUGGCCCGUUACUGACGCUGAGGCGCGAAAGCGUGGGGAGCAAACAGGAUUAGAUACCCGGGUAGUCCCUGUCUCUUAUAC